AGCGAACGCUGGCGGCAGGCCUAACACAUGCAAGUCGAGCGCCGUAGCAAUACGGAGCGGCAGACGGGAGAGUAACACGUGGGAACGUACCCUUUGGUUCGGAACAACCCAGGGAACCUUGGGCUAAUACCGGAUAAGCCCUCACGGGGAAAGAUUCAUCGCCGAAGGAUCGGCCCGCGUCUGAUUAGCUAGUUGGUGGGGUAAUGGCCCACCAAGGCGACGGUCAGUAGCUGGUCUGAGAGGAUGAUCAGCCUCACUGGGACUGAGACACGGCCCAGACUCCUACGGGAGGCAGCAGUGGGGAAUAUUGGACAAUGGGCGAAAGCCUGAUCCAGCCAUGCCGCGUGAGUGACGAAGGUCUUCGGAUUGUAAAGCUCUUUUGGCGGGGACGAUAAUGACGGUACCCGCAGAAUAAGCCCCGGCUAACUUCGUGCCAGCCGCCGCCGUAACAC
rnacentral:rRNA from 1 species